rnacentral:lncRNA from 1 species
CUCCCUGGGAGGCCACAGCCUGCCCUGGCCCAGCCCCUGGGACCGCGAGGGCCGUGUGAUACUUUCUCCAGUGGCAUUUACAGAAAACUUCCCUCUGCCCUACCAUUUUCGGCAGAGACUCUUGGAGCCUCUUCUUGAGGGGGACUCAACCUUGGGCUUCCAUGUGCAACCCUGCCGAGUCCAACGGAGCAGGAACCCAGAGUCAGGUCAGAGAGAAUCCCACCCCGAUGUCUGAGCUCCAGGAGCAGAUCAGACCUCAGUCCUCGACGCCUUCAGCAGGAUGCCCCGGCCCUGCCGCACCCUCCUGGUGAUUUUCCAGCCACGGACCCCCUCACUUCUCGGCUGUGAACCCCCCUUGUCCUGCUGCACCCAACAUAGA